GGUUACAUCCUUUAACCACGGUAGAGCUGAGCGGAUAAGAACUGGUCAACUGUAUUGAUCGGUCAUUUACAUAACAACAUGAUGUCCCACUCGCUCCACUGCAAAACGAGAAAGUCACACAUAUAUCA